AUUAUGAGGAUCUCACAAUAAUAAAGUUGGUGCUAAUGUAACACUAGAAAAAUGAUUGGGUUGGUUUCCUUUAAUACAUACGGUCUCAUUUUCAUUGUCUUGUAAUUAUUCUAUUUUAUUUUUUUCUUUUUCAUUUUCUUAUAAUUAUUCUUUUUUCUUUUUUUUCUUUUUCAUUUUCUACUUAUAAUUAGUAUUUUAGCAUAUUUUUUAAUCAAAAUAACUUAUGUUAAUCGUUUAAUUAUCAAAAAAUAAAAGAUGACAUUUUAUGUUCUUUAGGAUAUAAGUAUAUAUUUAUUUAAUUUUGAUGUUCAAUACAUAUCUUUCUAAACUAACUAAUGUGAAGGUUUGUUACUCAAUAAAUGUUUGAUUUAUUUAUAUAUUUGAGGAUUUACUUAAUUUAAUUAUUUUGCAUACAAUAUUUAAUAGAAAUCUCUGAUUCAUAAUC
rnacentral:lncRNA from 1 species